rnacentral:tRNA from 3 species
CGCGGGGUGGAGCAGUGGUAGCUCGUCGGGCUCAUAACCCGAAGGUCGUGGGUUCGAAUCCCACCCCCGCAA